AGGAUUAACGCUGGCGGCGUGCCUAACACAUGCAAGUCGAACGAGGUAGCAAUACCUAGUGGCAGACGGGUGAGUAACGCGUGGUCAACCUACCGUUGAGUGGGGGAUAACUAGCCGAAAGGUUAGCUAAUACCGCAUACGUCUCCGAGGGGCAUCCCUUGGCGAUAAAAGGAGCAAUCCGCUCGAUGACGGGACCGCGUCCCAUUAGCUAGAUGGUGGGGUAACGGCCUACCAUGGCACCGAUGGGUAGCUGGUUUGAGAGAGCGACCAGCCACACUGGGACUGAGAAACGGCCCAGACUCCUACGGGAGGCAGCAGUGAGGAAUUUUCCGCAAUGGGCGCAAGCCUGACGGAGCGACGCCGCGUGUGGGAAGAAGGCCUUCGGGUCGUAAACCACUGUCGAAGGGGACGAUAAUGACGGUACCCUUGGAGGAAGCCCCGGCUAACGUACGCGCCAGCAGCCGC
rnacentral:rRNA from 1 species